UGUCUUGUAUCUUCUGGCCUGGCUAGUC
rnacentral:piRNA from 1 species